CCUACGGGCGGCAGCAGUGAGGAAUAUUGGUCAAUGGUCGGAAGACUGAACCAGCCAUGCCGCGUGCAGGAAUAAGGCCCUAUGGGUCGUAAACUGCUUUUGUGGUGGAGCAAUAAGGCGUACGAGUACGUCGAUGAGAGUACAUCACGAAUAAGCAUCGGCUAACUCCGUGCCAGCAGCCGCGGUAAUACGGAGGAUGCAAGCGUUAUCCGGAUUUAUUGGGUUUAAAGGGUGCGUAGGCUGUGCAGCAAGUCAGCGGUGAAAGCCCGGGGCCUAACUCCGGAACUGCCGUUGAUACUGUUGUGCUGGAAUACGGAUGCCGUGGGAGGAAUGAGUAGUGUAGCGGUGAAAUGCAUAGAUAUUACUCAGAACACCGAUUGCGAAGGCAUCUCACGAAUCCGUUAUUGACGCUGAGGCACGAAAGCGUGGGGAUCAAACAGGAUUAGAUACCCGUGUAGUC
rnacentral:rRNA from 1 species